CUAAACCUGUUUAAUCUAUGUUGGUUGAAUUAAAUGCACAAAUAAACUAUUAUUGGCACUAGUAGAAAAAUAGAAAUUGGCACCGAGCAAUGGCCACAGGUUUUUAAAAACCGGUGGGAAAAAAAUGGAGAAAAAUAGGCGGGAUUAUGAGGGAGGGGUAUUGCCACCGGUUCAAACCGAACCGGUGGGGAAAAUAUUCAAUGCCACCGGUUCAAAACCGGUGGCUUUAUCUUUUUUUUAAAAAAACCGCCCUUCAUAAACCCUAGCCCUAAAACUCUCCUCUCUCCCCUCCUCUCCCUUCUCUCUCUUGCUCUCCCUCUCUCUUCUCUCUCCUGCGAUCUCCCCUCACCACUUCUCUCUCAUUCUCAACAACCAUCAUCGUCGCCGCCAUCUAUCUCAUAUCUUCUUCUUUCUCGUUAUCUCUCUUGCCAUAGUUAGGGCUCAGUUGCAAAAUCGAAAAUCUCCCCUAAAAUCAUAAAACACAGGCGAAAGCUCAACAAUGGCGGACGGAGGCGACACGGAAAUCUCUCCCGACAAACUCCCUAUCAAACGCCUCAAAAUCAUCGAAGAAUCCGGCGUCGAACGCUUUUCCUCGUAGUUUCUCUCUCCUCCAUUUAUCGAAAUUGAAUACGAAGAGAAAACGCUGUGUUGGACAGAGAUGCGAAGAAGCAGAAGACGAAGGAAUCAUCUGCACUGUAAAAUCCUUUUACUACGAAUUACACUGAUUUUAUUCUGAGCUGAAAUUAACACUAUUACAAGCUAUUUUUGGUUGUUUUUUUGUGAUUUUUUUUUGCCAUUUAGCUGAUAGAUUUGUUACUUGUUUGAUAUGAUGUAUUGAUUAUUGAGCUUGAAUCAAUUUUAACCCAGAAUUGUGGGAAAUUUUGCUUGGUUUCUGCUGGAUCUUGGUGGGUGCUUAGACCUAUGAAUUAAUUUUUGUUUGAUUGAAUUUUGGUCUGAUUGUGUAAAAAAUAUGAUUACAGUUGACUUCAAGCCUUAAUUUGUGAUGUUAUGUGAAUUUUGGUCUGAUAGUAUUUCCAUAGUUGUUAUGUGAUAGACAAGAAAGAGUACUUACUGUGAGAUUCCCAUGUCCAGGAGAAAUGAUAGUUCCAAUUGUUGAACUACAGAACAAAUAGGUAGCAGAUAAAUAAUAUCACUUACAAGAUGAAUUACCUUGCUAAUAUUGUUAUUUGAAAGCUAUGGUUUUAUAUUACUCUUAUUAAUCUAUAUGUUUACUUGGUGUUGGAUUGAAGUUGCAUUUGUGGUUUUGUAUGUGCAAGACUUACCAAGUUACACUAAAUAGGGCCGGCUCAAAGUAACAAGGAAAAAGUAAAGGGAGGUUGGACCUUAAAAACCUUGAUAGUUUUAGGUGUAACCAUGUAUAUUCCUAAUAAGUUUAGGGUUAUUAUCCUGCCCAUAGAUUAUGACAUUUGCAGCUUAGAUUGAAAACUUUCAACCAAUUUAUUUUCAAGAUCGUGCAUUUUCUUUGUGAGCUACUAUGUCAAUGUUUCCUCAUUUUUUUUGUAAUAAAGUAAUAAAGCUACUAUGUCUACAGAUUGUGAUCACAUGCUUGAAUAAAUAGCUCUUAUAAAAGAGAUAAACAAUAGAAUUGUAUGCUCUUGUUAUUUUACAAUUAGAUCAAGGCAUCUUUAGCACAAUUUUUGGUGAUUUUGAUUUUUUUUUUUUUUGAAUUUUUCUGCGAUUUUUGAGUGAUUUUUGUUUGGUUUUGUUGAUGAAAUGGUUCUAAGAUUUGCUAGUAAAAGGUUCUAAGAUGAUGCUAAUUAAUGAAAUUGAAAUUACUUGGCAGAACUUAAAGUUUGAAUAGCUGCAAAAACGACUAGACAACCCUUUGCAACCCCCACUACCUUGAUGGCAUUACACAGUCAUUGUUUCUUGAUUUUGCUGUUGAGACUAUGAUGAUCGCUGAAUUGUUUGGAGACUACUUUGAGAAAUUAUUCAUGCUUGACCUCUAGAGACAGCAUCAUGGUGGCAUAUAACAACAAGAAGUAUUACGUUGACAUUAUUGAAACAAAGCCCUCUCAUGCAAUCAGUAUAAUCGAGACAGACUAUGAGGUGGACUUUGCCCCUCCUCUUGAUUAUAAAGAGCCUGAAAAUGUAUUUUGCCAAGGCUUUUCUUCUCGGUAUUCCUCACUGCAUGUAUAUAUGGUUGAAUUUAAGGUGGCUGUCUGAAGAUGUUAUCUAUAUGCAAGGCUGCUGCUUCCUCGCCAAGGCUCGCUGCUGCAGUUGCUACCUCGCCAGGUGUUACAUUGGUGAUUUGGUGUGACUUGUAUUUAACAGUGACUUGAAUUUUAUUUUUUUUUUGGACCAAAAUUGUAAUAUUACAACCUUUUUUAAUGAAAAUA